rnacentral:rRNA from 1 species
UACAGAGGGUGCAAGCGUUAAUCGGAAUUACUGGGCGUAAAGCGUGCGUAGACGGUUAUGUAAGUCGGGUGUGAAAGCCCCGGGCUCAACCUGGGAAUGCCAUUCGAGACUGCAUAGCUAGGGUGCGGAAGAGGGAAGCGGAAUUUCCGGUGUAGCGGUGAAAUGCGUAGAUAUCGGAAGGAACACCAGUGGCGAAGGCGACUCUUUGGCCUGUAACUGACGCUGAGGCGCGAAAGCGUGGGGAGCAAACAGG